rnacentral:rRNA from 1 species
GACGAACGCUGGCGGCGUGCUUAACACAUGCAAGUCGGACGGAAAGGCCCUGCUUUUGUGGGGUGCUCGAGUGGCGAACGGGUGAGUAACACGUGAGUAACCUGCCCUUGACUUUGGGAUAACUUCAGGAAACUGGGGCUAAUACCGGAUAGGAGCUCCUGCUGCAUGGUGGGGGUUGGAAAGUUUCGGCGGUUGGGGAUGGACUCGCGGCUUAUCAGCUUGUUGGUGGGGUAGUGGCUUACCAAGGCUUUGACGGGUAGCCGGCCUGAGAGGGUGACCGGCCACAUUGGGACUGGGAUACGGCCCAGACUCCUACGGGAGGCAGCAGUGGGGAAUAUUGCACAAUGGGCGGAAGCCUGAUGCAGCAACGCCGCGUGCGGGAUGACGGCCUUCGGGUUGUAAACCGCUUUCGCCUGUGACGAAGCGUGAGUGACGGUAAUGGGUAAAGAAGCACCGGCUAACUACGUG